CCUACGGGGGGCUGCAGUGGGGGAUAUUGCACAAUGGGGGAAACCCUGAUGCAGCGACGCCGCGUGGGUGAAGAAGCGCCUCGGCGCGUAAAGCCCUGUCAGCAGGGAAGAAAAUGACGGUACCUGAAGAAGAAGCCCCGGCUAACUACGUGCCAGCAGCCGCGGUAAAACGGAGGGGGCACGCGUUAUCCGGAUUUACGGGGUGAAAAGGGGGCGCAGACGGCGAUGCAAGCCAGGAGUGAAAGCCCGGGGCCCAACCCCGGAACUGCUCUUGGAACUGCGUGGCUAGAGUGCAGGAGGGGCAGGCGGAAUUCCUGGUGUAGCGGUGAAAUGCGUAGAUAUCAGGAGGAACACCGGUGGCGAAGGCGGCCUGCUGGACUGCAACUGACGUUGAGGCGCGAAAGCGUGGGGAGCAAACAGGAUUAGAUACCCGGGUAGUC
rnacentral:rRNA from 1 species